rnacentral:rRNA from 1 species
UAACACUUGCCAGUUCGUAACAAGGUAACCGCUAGCAAUCCUGGUGGCGAGUGGCGAACGGGUGAGUAAUACAUCGGAACGUGCCCAAUCGUGGGGGAUAACGCAGCGAAAGCUGUGCUAAUACCGCAUAAGACCUACGGAUGAAAGCAGGGGACCCGCAAGGGCCUUGCGCGAAUGGAGCGGCCGAUGGCAGAUUAGGUAGUUGGUGAGGUAAAGGCUCACCAAGCCUUCGAUCUGUAGCUGGUCUGAGAGGACGACCAGCCACACUGGGACUGAGACACGGCCCAGACUCCUACGGGAGGCAGCAGUGGGGAAUUUUGGACUAUGGGCGAAAGCCUGAUCCAGCCAUGCCGCGUGCAGGAUGAAGGCCUUCGGGUUGUAAACUGCUUUUGUACGGAACGAAAAGGUCUUUUCUAAUCCACGAGGGCCCAUGACGGUACCGUAUCAAUAAUCACCGGCUUAACUACUUGCCUUCUUCCGCGAUAAUACGUAUGGUUGCAUGCGUUAAUCGGACUUAAUGGGCGUAAAGAGUGCCCAUGCGGUUAUAU